UACCCCGAACAUAUUAGCAAGGUUUAAAUAAGAAAUCAUUUGUUCUUCUUUUAAUUUUAAUUCCAGAUUUCAAACUCUCCUCGCCUCCUCUUUUCGCCGUCACCACCACCGUCAUCACCGCCAUCGGUUUUUUCUUAUUAAAUUAUUUUUCAAGUCGAUGUGAAUGAAUGGAAUUAGGUCAUCAAAUUCUGAUAAUCAUUGAUUGACCUUGAAUCUCUCUUGCUUAAACUUUCCUGCUGGUGGUGGUGAUUACAUUUUAAGGUUAAACAUUUGAUUUCAACCUUCUUCUCCUGUUCGUUCGCAGUAAACUAUUUUAGGGUUAAACUCAUGUUCCUUCGCGGUUACUAUUUGGUUUCAAAUACCAAUUCCCACUUCAGUUUAUCAAAAGGUUGAAUCACAAUUUUAUCACAUAUGUUGGUCGUAUUGGAUUGGGAAUCUUCCAUGAUUUUCGGUUCCCUGUACUUGCAGUGUUGUAUAGAGAAAGAGGCUUCAUUGAUAUCCUUUCCCCGUUAAUUUGAUAUCUUAUGUCCAUUUUAUUGGUGUGUGUUAAUUUGUAUAUAACAUUUAGUUCUUAUCCAUUAACUGGAUAUGUUGCUUGGGUACCAGGUACUGAUCUAAUAUGCUAUCCUGGGGCGUUCAACAUUAGUAUAUGGGAGCUUUUAUAAAGAGCAAGACAAUAACUAUUUGUUAUACUCUUUAUUAGAGUUUUUUCCGCCAGGCGAUACGAAAACCAAAUAAGCAUUUUUGGACUUGCUAAUCAUAUGUAUCUACUGACUUGAUUGAGUUUCUUAUCUAUUCAACUGGGCUGCUAACAAUUAGGUGCGUUUACGAGAUUUUGGGUUUUUCUAUGGGAUCCAUGUUGGUUAUUCUAAACUAUAACAAAUGAAGUUUCUAUAAUUUUGUUACA